UAAGAUGAAAAUAUUGCAAUAGUCAGUGGACACAAUAGGUAAUGUGAAUUAUGUGAGAUGGUCAAAUGUUAAUGUAUAUAAACAUAGUAAGAAUGGUGAUUCCAAAAUGAAGAUGCUUUGAAAGGCAACAACCAUGUCAGAACACAUUGCUUGCCCAAGAUAUAAUGGAUUGAAGCUAUUAAAUGAAUAAAGCAGGAAUACGAUCUAAUUCAAAGGAUAAUAGGAAAAAUGAUACACAAACAUGCUAGUCGUCUUAGUCUUCCUUCACUUUGUGGUUCUCCCAUUUGUUAUCUCCACUCCAUCUAAUAUUAAUGUGUGUGUUACCUAAAGGAAUAUAAAAGAAGGUAAGAAAAUAUCUAGCAUGCAAAGACGAAUUCCAGAUUGAUCCAUACAAAACCUGGUCUGUGCUAAAAAAAGAUGAAAAGAAACAACCUGCAUGUAAUAAAGUUCACCUUUGCGUUUCAAAAAAAGUAAAAUUCACCUUGUUGUGAUUAGAAAUACCCCAAGCUCCUUCCAUUACCGACCUUGGUAAGCUUCAGAUUGACGACUGUAUAACUUCAGUAUAGUUUACAUCCUAAAACACAACAUAAGAUAAUCCAUGUUUGAAAUUUUCUACAUGCAGUAAGUGGAUUAAGCUAAUCAUUGAAGAGCAAAUAUAUCUUACCUUCCAUCUGAUCCCAACCAAUUGAAGCUGAAUUUCCUGAGUAAUUGACACCUAAUUGGCUAACAAACUAAGAGUGAAAUUACAUAACAGCAAGGCAAAAAGUUUGAGGCUAACACAAUCAAGAAACAAUACAGUAUGCCAAAAAAAUGUAUUACUCCCUCCGUUCCGAAAUGUAGGUCGCUGGGGCUUGUGUUCCGACCAGGUGAAAAGUUGACAAUUGACCUGAAUACCAUCCCUUCAAAAUUUGAAUCCCGAUCGAUCGUCUUCCACCUCCGCCUCCGCCCUCCACCUCCACCUCCGCUUCCGCCCUCCACCUCCACCGACCCUCACCUCCUCCCUCCAGCUCCAUCUCCACCUCCACCCUCACCUCCGCCCUCCACCUCCAUCUCCACCUCCGCCCUCCAUCUCCACCUCCGCCCCCUGCCCAGGCGCUGCCGCCGCUGGAGUAGAGCUAGUGCUCUGCUGCCGCCCACACACAGGGGCUCCUCCUGACCCGCGCCCAGGUGGAGGCGAGCACAGGCUGUUCCGCCAUCUCCACCUCCGUACCCACCUCCGGCCACUGCAUCCAGGCGCAGGCGCUCCUCCUCUCCCACGUCCAGGAGCUGCUGCUGGGUUCGGCUGGUGCCCAGGUUCAUCUCCUCUCUCUGAUCAUUUGAUCUUCUGCUGGAGUACAUCUCUCUGUUGUCGCUGGAAACGAACUGCAAGCAUGAACAAUACUCAAGUGAUUCAAGAGAUGUACUAAUUCAAGAGUAGUCAAGAGUAAUUCAGAAGUGCCAACAUUUGAUUCAAGAAAUGUUUGCUGCCAAAAAUUCAACAAAUAAUUUGAACAAGUUAACUGAAUUAACUGUUGACUGUAGCAUUUCAGACAAUAGGAGUAGCAGACCAAACUGUAUUAACUGUUGACUGUGCAUCAUUGAUUUUGAAAAUUCUGGAAGAACCUCUGCCAUUAUGUUGAUUUACUUUAAAUAAAAAUCAUAGACUGAAAAUGUUGUCAUCUGGAUUACACAUGUUCUUUUUCUCAUUAGAGGAUCAUGAGAGAAAACUAUUGAAAAUAGUCUGGAGUAAAAAAAAUCUGAGAACACACACACAACAAAAACAGGUUCAUGACUGGAGUAGUACUGUAAUAAGACCUGACAAAACUUCUUUUGGCUGGGAGAGAUUUGAGUGUUUUUAUAUCAUUGCUAAGAGAUUUUAUUACUGUAAUAAGACUUGACAAAACAUCUUGAACUGAUAAUCUACAGCAAACUUGCUUGAAUGCAAUGCAAGUUGUACCUCGAUCUGUCCUGAAACAAUGACCACGUAGCAAAGAGAGGAAUGAACUGCAAACAUAAACAAUUUGAUGAGAAUUUGGUUCAACUAGCCAAUAAUUUGAUCUAACCAUUUGACAAAAUCCGAAUCUACUGAUGCAGGAAUACUGUCAAAUUACUGUUGGAGUACAAUUCAGAUUACAACAGCAGUACCUGAAAGCAGCAGAAGAUGGUUGUCCCAGACCUCAACUGCACUCCACCUGCAGAAGAUGCAGAAGAUGAAAUGGGUGAUGAUGAUGCAGGAGUACAAAUGGAUGAAGAUGUAGGAGUACAAAUGGAUGAAGAUGCGGGAGUACAACAUGCAGGUAUAGCUACAGUGGCAUUUCAGAAAUUUUCAGUUAGUGGUGGAAGAAAAAAAUCAGUUAAAUUACAGAAUACAGUUUGAUGAUAUGAUCAUAUCAUCAUUUGAUCAUUUGAUGAUAUGAUCAUAUCAUCAUUUGAAUGCUUAUGUUCAUUUGACCAUUUUUCCUUUGAUCAUUUGAUCAUUUUUCCUUUGCUGUAUUUCUUCGUGCAGGUGUUGAGCAAUCAGUUAAGAAAAGGGAUAGCCUCGAUGACAAGCAAAAGUAUGCUGCUUAUGUUGCAAUGCACACACUGUGCAUGAGUAGAGGGGGCAAAUUUGAAAGAGAUGACAAGAAAAAGAUUGCCAGUUUCUUUGGAGUGGGUGUAUGGAAUGUACAAAGAGUUUGGAAGAAAGCAAUGAAGCAAAUUGCUCAAGGUCUGGAGGUGGAUGUUUCAAGUCAGAGAAAAAAGAACCGUGGAAGAAAGCCAAAGGACAUUAAUCUAGAUCAAAUACCUACCAUUCCACUUAACAAGCGGUCUACUAUCAGGUCACUUGCUUGGCAACUCGGUUGCAGCCCUACGACACUCCACCGGAAGUUCAUGCUGAAGUUGAUAAAGAGGCAUACAAACUAUUUGAAGCCAGUUUUGAAGGAAAAGAACAAGAAGGAUAGAAUGGAAUUUUGCUUGUCAAUGCUCGAUGAGACAACAACACAAACUGAAAGGCCAAAAUUCAAGACCAUGCACAACAUUAUUCAUAUUGACGAGAAAUGGUUCUAUAUGACCAAGAAAAUCAGGAACUAUUAUCUGCUAUAUGGGGAGGAAGAGCCUACGAGAACUAUACAAAACGGCAGUUGGAAAAGUCGUGUUCUUGGCGGCUAUUGCUAGGCCAAGGUGGGAUAGUGAAGGAAAUGUGACAUUUUCUGGGAAAAUUGGAAUUUGGCCGUUUGUGAAAGAAGUUCCGGCUCAGAGGAGAAGCGACAACAGGCCCAGAGGAACAAUGGAGACGAAGUCCAUAAAAGUCAACAGGCAAGUAAUGAGAGAGUUCAUGAUAGAUAACCUACUACCAGCAAUACAAGCAUCUUGGCCUGAGAAUGAUGCUGGGCAAACCAUCUAUAUACAACAAGACAACGCCAAGCCCCAUAUCUUGCCCAACGACCCAGAAUUUGUAGCAGCCGCGGAAAGAACUGGACUCGACAUCAGACUAAUUCAACAACCUGCCAAUAGCCCUGAUCUGAAUGGCCUUGACCUUGGGUUCUUCAACUCGUUGCAAUCUCUGACAGAUUGUCUAAGCCCUAGAACGCUUCAGGAUCUUAUCAAGGGUGUGCUAGAUGAAUUUGAAAACUAUGAAGUUUACAAGCUGAACAGAGUUUUCCUAUCUCUACAAGCUUGCAUGAUUGAAAUCUUGAACCACGCAGGGGGCAAUGGGUAUAAAAUACCCCAUGCGAACAAGGAAAGGCUAGAGAACCUUGGGAUGCUACCUCCAAGACUUACAUGCCCUGAAGAGGUAUAUGCAAAUGCCAUGCACAAUCUUGGGAUAAUGGAGAGAGUUCAGUGAUGGAAGAAGAGGCUUGACAUACUUGUCGAGAUGCUUGUUGAUAUGCUUGAGGAGUUAGUUGUUGAGAUGCUUGAGGAGUUGCUUGUUGAGAUGCUUGUCGAGAUGCUUGUCGAGAUGCUUGAGGAGUUGCUUGUUGAGAUGCUUGUCGAGAUGCUUAUUCAUAUGCUUGUCGAGAUGCUUAUUCAUAUGCUUGAGGAGUUUCUUGUCGAGAUGCUUGUUCAGAUGCUUGAGGAGUUGCUUGUUGAGAUGCUUGUCGAGAUGCUUGUUGAUAUGCUUGAGGAGUUGCUUGUCGAGAUGCUUGUUCAGAUGCUUGAGGAGUUGCUUGUUGAGAUGCUUGUCGAGAUGCUUGAGGAGUUGCUUGUUGAGAUGCUUGUCGAGAUACUUGAGGAGUUGCUUGUUAAGAUGCUUGUGAUUAUUUGUGUGGAGUAUGUGUAACUCCUUGUUUGUGUGGAGUAUAUGUAAAUCCUAGAGAUGAGGCUUGUGCGGAGUAUAUGUAACUCCUUGAGAAGAGACUUGUGUGGAGUGCAUCAUUUGUAUGAUCAUUUUAAUUAACCAAGAACUACUCCUACAUACUCCAAGAACUACUCCUACUCCUACUCCAAGAACAACUCCUACUCCUAAUUUUAAUUAAAACUAAGCAGCAAGUCCACACGAUUUUAAUUUUAAUUUAAGGAAAAUCCACACGAUUUUACAGAAGCUUGUAUGGCAUGUCAUGAUUUUACAGAAACUACUCCUAUCAUGAUUUUGCUGUCAUUAAUAUGCAAGCAACAAUUAAGUUCACAAUAUUAUGCAAGUUAACAAGCUUCAGUAGCCCAAGUUUCAGUAGACAAGUUAACAAAAGCUACAGACGACAACUUUUAAAAGAAGCUAUAGAAGCUUCAUGAGAAUAAGUUAUUUUUAACAGAAGCUACAGAAAAUUUACACUCAACAUGCACAACAAAUUUACACAGAGAGAGGAGAGGACCAAUUUGCACAGUGAGUUUCAAGCAAUUAACAAAACAAGUUAACUUGUUUGGCCCCUUUUUUCUUUUCAGUUAACAAGACUGGUAAGCAAGUGAACAAAUUCAGAACAAGCCUGGAGUAUAUGUAGAGAUACAAGUGCUCCUACUGAACAAGACUGGAGUAUAUGCAGAGAUACAAGUACUCCUACUGGAAUAUCUAAACAUGUUUGACUGCUUAAGCAUGCAGAACAAGACUGGAGUACAUAAACAUGUUCGACUACAGAAGUUCCCUCGCCAAAGCAAUGAACAUUCAUGACUAGCAAGGGAACUGCAAGAUUAAGAAGCUACUCUGCACUCUACCUGCAGUAGAUAAACAAACUGUAAUACAAGUAUGCAAAAUAUGUAUUGAGAUUGCAAAGUUACUUAAAGUAGAAAAAUGUAUCCAACUGAGAUUGUGGUAAGCUCUUGAUUGGAGUGCAAAAUGUAUCCAGCUAAGUUACUUGUUGAGAUGGAGGAAGUUGUUCAAAUGAUUAAAUCGGGACCAACUAACUGAAUCAGGAGGAACUUUAUGUCUCGACAACUACGGCAUAAUAAACACACAAGAAUAACUGAAUCAGGAGUAGAAACCACGAGUGAGACUGCGAGAGUUCAUCGCCAACCAUUCAAAACAAGAAAAAGAAAAAUGUGGGAUCUGCAAGAAAAAUGUGAGUAUGUUCGAUGCCUGCAAUUUUCGUUCUCUGAAAAUAUGAACCUGCUUCAGUGGCUCAGCCGCAACAUGGCGUAGAUACAAAGGAGAGCAUUACCAUCCUACUCCAUUCAGCAAUUCACACACAUACUCCAGAAUCCAUCAGCAAGUUGCUCUAGGCCUGGGGUGAUCCAUCAGCUUCAUCUUUGCUUGCACAGCAACAAUCACACGAUUUCAGUAACUUUGUGAAGGCUUCAGAGCCGUAGUGGAGUCCGGCACACUGCAUUUUCAAGCUACUGCAUCAAGUUUUCAUUAACCAAAUCGAUGCACUGCUACUCUAACAUCAACUACUCCUGCAAAUGGAUAAGAGAGGAGGCAUGGAGAAGAAACACCGUACCAGAUCCGUGAGGACGACCAAGCCGCUCCAGAUCCGCCAGUUGCUCCCGCGCCUCUCCAAAUACGCCGCUCGGCCUCCGCUAUGCAUCCAGUGCCGACGAGCGCAGAUCCAGCGCCUCCCUCGCCUAGAUCGAGCGCCGGCGCACGCAAAUCCAUCGCCUCUGUCGCCCAGAAGCUCGUCGCCGGCGCAAAAAAAUCAUUCUUUGACCUUGGAUGUGGGGCGUGAAUGGACGCCGGCUGUGAGUGGACGCCAGACGUGAAUGGAUGCCGGCUGUGGACGCGGAGAAAGGUGGCGGCGACGGGGAGAUAUGCUAGAGAGGCCGGCGACGGGGAGUCAGGGAGAUGCCGGCAGGAGUCGGGGAGAGCGAUGGGGAGAAGAGGGGAGCGAUGGGGAGAAGAGAGGCGAGCGAGUGAGCGAGUGGGCUGUGAGCGGAGUGAGGGGUAAUUUCGGAAAGUGCGAGAAUUCCGUAACGUGUCGAAAU
rnacentral:lncRNA from 1 species